rnacentral:rRNA from 1 species
GUGGGGAAUUUUGGACAAUGGGCGCAAGCCUGAUCCAACAAUGCCGCGUGCAGGAAGAAGGCCUUCGGGUUGUAAACUGCUUUUGUACGGAACGAAACGGUCCUGGUUAAUACCUGGGGCUAAUGACGGUACCGUAAGAAUAAGCACCGGCUAACUACGUGCCAGCAGCCGCGGUAAUACGUAGGGUGCGAGCGUUAAUCGGAAUUACUGGGCGUAAAGCGUGCGCAGGCGGUGCUGUAAGACAGGCGUGAAAUCCCCGGGCUCAACCUGGGAAUUGCGAUUGUGACUGCAGUGCUGGAGUACGGCAGAGGGGGAUGGAAUUCCGCGUGUAGCAGUGAAAUGCGUAGAUAUGCGGAGGAACACCGAUGGCGAAGGCAGUCCCCUGGGCCUGUACUGACGCUCAUGCACGAAAGCGUGGGGAGCAAACAGGAUUAGAAACCCGGGUAGUCC